rnacentral:rRNA from 1 species
AUCAACGCUGGCGGCGUGCCUAACACAUGCAAGUCGAAAGCGAGAAAGUGGAGCAAUCCAUUGAGUAAAGUGGCGACCGGGUGAGUAACACGUGACUAACCUACCUCCGAGUGGGGGAAAUAACUCCGGGAAACCGGGGCUAAUACCGCAUAACAUCGCAAAGAUCAAAGCAGCAAUGCGCUGGGAGAGGGGGUCGCGGCUGAUUAGCUAGUUGGCGGGGGUAACGGCCCACCAAGGCGAAGAUCGGUAUCCGGCCUGAAGAGGGCGCACGGACACACUGGAACUGAAACACGGUCCAAGACUCCUACGGGAGGCAGCAGUGGGGAAUUUUGCGCAAUGGGGGAAACCCUGACGCAGCAACGCCGCGUGGAGGAUGAAGCCCUUUGGGGCGUAAACUCCUUUCGACCAAGACGAUAAUGACGGUACUGGUGGAAGAAGCACCGGCUAACCCCUGUGCCAGCAGCCGCGGUAAGUACAAGAGGGUUGCGAGCGUUUGUUCGGAAUUAUUGGGCGUAAAGGGGCGCGUAGGCGGUGCGGUAAGUCACCUGUGAAAUCUCCCGGCUUAACUGGGAGCCUGGCAGGCGAAAACUACCGUGCUGGAGUGUGGGGAGAGGUGGGCGUGGAAAUUCCCGGUGUAGCGGGUGAAAUGCGUAGAUAUCGGGAGGAAACACCUGUGGGGGCGAAAAGCGGCGCACUGGACCAUAACUGACGCUGAGGCGCGAAAAGCUAGGGGAGCAAAACAGGAAUUAGAUACCCUGGUAGUCCUCUAGCCCUAAACGAUGAUUGCUUGGGUGUAGCAGGUACCCAAUCCUGCUGUGCCGCAGCUAACGCGAAUAAGCAAUCCGCCUGGGGAGUACGGUCGCAAGGCUGAAACUCAAAGGAAUUGACGGGGGCCCCGCCACAAGCGGGUGGAGCAUGUGGUUUCAAUUCGACGCAACGCGAAGAACCUUACCUGGGCUCGAAAUGCAGGAGACCGGGGUGGGAAACAUCCCUUCCCCUUAAAAGGCUGCUGCAUAGGUGCUGCAUGGCUGUCGUCAGCUCGUGUCGUGAGGAUGUUGGGGUUAAGUCCCGCAAACGAGGCGCAACCCUUAUCCUAGUUGCCAUCGGGUCAAGCCGGGCACCUCUAGUUGAAACUGCCUCGGGAUAACGAGGAGGGAAGGUGGGGAUGACGUCAGUCCUCAUGGCCUUUAUGUCCCAGGGCUACACACGUGCUACAAUGGUCGGUACAAACGUCGCAAAACCCCGUGAGUGGGGAGCUAAUCGGAAAAAGCCGGCCUCAGUUCGGAUUGGAGUCUGCAACUCGACUCCAUGAAGCUGGAAUCGCUAGUAAUCGCGGAAUCAGAACGCCGCGGUGAAUACGUUCCCGGGCCUUGUACACACCGCCCGUCACAUCACGGAAGUGGGCCGUACUAGAAGCAGGUGUGCUAACCGCAAGGAGGCAGCCUUCCAAGGUACAGCUCAUGAUUGGGUGA